rfam:Fomitopsis pinicola FP-58527 SS1 unplaced genomic scaffold FOMPIscaffold_22, whole genome shotgun sequence.
GGUGAGAUGGCCGAGCGGUCUAAGGCGCCAGACUAAGGACAUAGACGCUCGGGUUAUUCCGAAGCGUAGAAAUCUGGUCCGAAAGGGCGUGGGUUCGAAUCCCACUCUCAUCA